AGAGUUUGAUCAUGGCUCAGAACGUACGCUGGCGGCACGCCUAACACAUGCAAGUCGAACGAAGUAGCAAUACUUAGUGGCAGACGGGUGAGUAACAUGUAGGUAUCUGCCCUUUGGCCUGGAAUAACACGAGGAAACUUGUGCUAAUACCGGAUAAGUCUUUACGGAGAAAGCUUUAUGCACCAUUGGAUGAGCCUGCACUUGAUUAGUUUGUUGGUGGGGUAAUGGCCUACCAAGACUGUGAUCAAUAGCUGAUUUGAGAGGAUGAUCAGCCACAUUGGGACUGAGACACGGCCCAAACUCCUACGGGAGGCAGCAGUGGGGAAUCUUGCACAAUGGAGGAAACUCUGAUGCAGCGAUGCCGCGUGAGUGAAGAAGGCCCUUGGGUUGUAAAGCUCUUUCGUCGGGGAAGAAAAUGACUGUACCCGAAUAAGAAGGUCCGGCUAACUUCGUGCCAGCAGCCGCGGUAAUACGAAGGGACCUAGCGUAGUUCGGAAUUACUGGGCUUAAAGAGUUCGUAGGUUGUUGAAAUAGUUGGUGGUGAAAUCCCAGAGCUUAACUCUGGAACUGCCAUCAAAACUUUUCAGCUAGAGUAUGAUAGAGGAAAGCAGAAUUUCUAGUGUAGAGGUGAAAUUCGUAGAUAUUAGAAAGAAUACCAAAUGCGAAGGCAGCUUUCUGGAUCAUUACUGACACUGAGGAACGAAAGCAUGGGUAGCGAAGAGGAUUAGAUACCCUCGUAGUCCAUGCCGUAAACGAUGUGUGUUAGACGUUGGAAAUUUAUUUUCAGUGUCGCAGGGAAACCGAUAAACACACCGCCUGGGGAGUACGACCGCAAGGUUAAAACUCAAAUGAAUUGACGGGGACCCGCACAAGUAGUGGAGCAUGUGGUUUAAUUCGAAGAUACGCGCAGAACCUUACCAACACUUGACAUGUUCGUCGCGACUUUAAGAGAUUAAAGUUUUCGGUUCGGCCGGACGAAACACAGGUGCUGCAUGGCUGUCGUCAGCUCGUGUCGUGAGAUGUUGGGUUAAGUCCCGCAACGAGCGCAACCCUCACUUUUAGUUGCCAUCAUUAAGU
rnacentral:rRNA from 1 species